UUGACCUCGAAUCAGGUAGGAAUACCCGC
rnacentral:rRNA from 4 species